GACGGAGGGAGCAAGCGUUGUUCGGAUUUACUGGGCGUAAAGGGCGUCUAGGCGGAUUGGUCAGUCAGGUGUGAAACCCUUCGGCUCAACCGGAGAUCUGCACUUGAUACUGCCAAUCUUGAGUAUGGAAGAGGAAAGCGGAAUUCCAGGUGUAGCGGUGAAAUGCGUAGAUAUCUGGAAGAACACCGGUGGCGAAGGCGGCUUUCUGGUCCAAUACUGACGCUAAAGCGCGAAAGUGUGGGGAGCAAACAGG
rnacentral:rRNA from 1 species